GACGAACGCUGGCGGCGUGCUUAACACAUGCAAGUCGAACGGAAAGGCCCUGCUUUUGUGGGGUGCUCGAGUGGCGAACGGGUGAGUAACACGUGAGUAACCUGCACUUGACUUUGGGAUAACUUCAGGAAACUGGGGCUAAUACCGGAUAGGAGCUCCUGCUGCAUGGUGGGGGUUGGAAAGUUUCGGCGGUUGGGGAUGGACUAGCGGGUUAUCAGCUUGUUGGUGGGGUAGUGGCUUACCAAGGCUUUGAGGGGUAGCCGGCCUGGGAGGGUGACCGGCCACAUUGGGACUGAGAUACGGCCCAGACUCCUACGGGAGGCAGCAGUGGGAAAUAUUGCACAAUGGGCGGAAGCCUGAUGCAGCAACGCCGCGUGCGGGAUGACGGCCUUCGGGUUGUAAACCGCUUUCGCCUGUGACGAAGCGUGAGUGACGGUAAUGGGUAAAGAAGCACCGGCUAACUACGUG
rnacentral:rRNA from 1 species